rnacentral:lncRNA from 1 species
AAAAUAUUGAGAAAGUAUGACUCUCUCCAACUAUAAUUUAAUUUUCUACAACAUAUCUAUGAAUAUCUUAGAUUUUUACGUGCCUUUAGACUUAAAGCUGGUUUGGGAAGUGUUCAUUUAAAUUAUAAAUAAAUAUCAUGUCUAUUAAUCAUCCUCUAUAGAUUUUUUUUGUGAAUUUACAUCAAUUUAUUAAUAUAAUAUUCCCCUUGUACUUUUUCUUAUUUUCUAUGUUGGAUCUAAGUUCCAAUUCCAGUAGUUUGUUCUAUGGACGAAAGCUUAUUCCUCUGACACAUUUAAUCGAAAAUGUAGAAAAUCUAAUUAAGACUCCAAUUUUUUACUGGUUGCACAUAGCUGUUUAUUAUAAAUGAAAUCUUAACUGAAAGAUAAUGUUCAUCUUGUAAGUAUUAUGCUCUAAGUCCAAUCAACUUUGGACAUAAAUACUUUUAUAUAUAAUUAAUACAAUUAAAUGGCAGAUCUAUUAUUUAAUUAAUAGACAAUUAAAUAAAUAAUAGAGUCCGUAGAUUCAAAUAUUUGUAAUUUGUUAAUCACAAGGAGUUGUGAUUGUGAGAUACAAAUUACAUCUGAUUGAGUCUUAAAUCAUCCGUGGUCGUAAGUAAUAACGAGAUACGGAUAUCGUUAUUACGGAUAGACCAUCACGUGUGGCAUUUCUUACUUGUAAAGUAAGUAGCUGAUCUCACAAGUUAAAGUGUGAUGACACUUAAAUGAACACGUGGAUGUUUUGUUAUAGAACAAAACAUUGGAGACCCGUCGAGAGAUUCCACAUGGAUAACUAUCUGAGUGUCGGUGGUUAAUCUCUAAUGUUCGGUAGUGAAAUUGGUCAUUUGACUUGAGGUCGUCAUGGUACCUUAUAUGAGGACAGUCAUACUUUGGCGGUGUUGGAUGUUGCUCUGAAAAGGGCCGCUAAUACGACAUCGUUCGAGUACGUCAAGAAUCGUAUGAAGGUUGUGAUUGAUUAAUAAAGGAUUCGUUACUCUUAGAUAGUAGGAGAUUAUGAUCUGCGUUUCACUCAAUUAAGUCAAUGAUGAAAUCCUUGGCCAAGGUGUACUCAUAAGUCGAAAAGGAGUUUUCGAUUUAUAUUGACUUAAUAGUGGAGUGAAAGAUAUGAUCGAUGAUCGAGAUUGACACAACUCCAUAUCUCGUAAUUAAUCGGAUCAUAUUGACGAACGGAUUAUAGUUUCAUGGUAAACGAACGAAUUUGGCUUUGUCAUACCACGUGACAUUUCCCGUCACAUGUAUUGCCCUGACACAUUGCUAGAUGUCAAUCAGGGACGGAGAAUGUGAAUUGACGAUAAAUUAAAAGGGUGUUUUAAUUUGUCAAUUUUGACUAGAUUAAAAUAAUAUUUCACGUCAUUAUGUAUCGUGGUCGGGAACCUAAUGGGUCACACACAAAAGAGAAUUAGAAGAUUGCAAAUUGUCAAUUGGUUAAUUUAACAAUCGUUGGAUAAAUUAAUUAAUUGGAUUUGUUAUUUAUAUUUUCGAAUUAAUUAAUUGGAUUAAUUAAUUCACGGAUCGGGUUUAAUUAAUUGAAUUAAUUAAUUAUUGGACCGGACCGGGCCGAGCCUAUUUGGGUUUAUAUAAAUACAUAACUAGGGUUUGAGGUCCAUAAGGUUUUCAUUAUUCUUGCUGGCACAAGAAAAAACCCUAGAAGUUGCAACCUUAUUCUCUGUGUGGAUCACCGUUGGAGGCUGGACAAUUGGACAGCUGUGGUGGCAAAUCAAGGUUGAUGGAACUGAAAGAAAAGCAAAGAAGUUUGCAGAUCUGGAAAAGGUACAAUCUUAUCACAAUUUCUAUCUAAACACAAAGGCGAUUCUUGGUGGGAAUCGAAAAUUAUUUUAAAUUCCGCUGUGCAUGUAUAAGUAGAUUCACAACACAUCUUCUUCCAAAUUAUAGCACUUUCAUUACGUCAAUACAUGUAACGUUGCACCAAAACAUUUGCUUUAUAUAUUUGUUCAAGAACCAACACACGCUUAUAUUUAAUAUUCACCAACUAACGUGCAACACGCAUUUCCUCACUAGUAUAAUCAAAGUUCAAAGUGGGCUAAGAAUCACGUGAUUGGAACAUGGUUUGGAGAAUUUUGUAUUAAAAUAUUAUUGCAUUAUCAAUGUUAGAAAAUUGACGACUAGAUGAGUCUGGACAAAAUUAAACCCCAUUUGAUAGCAAUUUUUUACCCAAAAAAAUCAAAUUUUUGAUCGCUAUUUUACUAUUUCAAUCGUCAUUUUUUACUUCUUCACUCAUAAAUGGGAUCCAUUUUUCUCUUUAAAGAUUAACAAAUUAAUUUCAUAAUUAUUAUCGAAAGACCUUAAAGAAGGAAAAGAUGUAAAAUAUUUGAAGAAAUAGAAACUGUGCGAAGAGAGAGAUUUCAAUUUUUUUUCAAUGACGUGGGAUGACUUGGAGAUUUGAACUAAAACCGACCGUGUUUCUUAUUAUUUGUUUAUGCAACAAAACUUGAAACUUUGUUGCAUGUUGUAAUGAUAUGAAAUAAACAAAUGAUUUGAUUGUAUGUGUGAUGCUAAUUCAUUGUACCUAAAAUGGACACCAAAACCGAAUUCAAUUCUGUCGUGCAUACAAUUGUCAUGUUUAAAGAAAAAUGAACUUUAAGAUAUUUUUGGGUUGAACCCUAACCUUAAGGGUCCCCCACCGUCCCGCUUCUGGAGCAUCGUGAGAGAAGUUAAUCGCGGACUGUGCCCCAACAGAUUAGGAAACAAGAGUUGCCAAUACACUAGUACUCACAGAGAGUCUCAAUCCAUGUUUCAAGAAUCGAAGAACUUUAAGAUAUUUUCUUUUUACUAAUAUGUGGUCUUCUUUAUUCCAAUAAUUGUAGUUAAAGAAAAUGUCCUGUCUAUUUUGUCUGAGAAAUUAGGUAUGGUCAAAUUCUCCAUGAUUUUAGUUGUUAAACUUUCCCAAAAGUGUGCCACUAAUGUGAUUGGAUUGCUCCCAAAGUGCUUUUGUGAGGCAAUUAAAUUGUAAAUUGCAUUCUAUCCGUAAGCGUUUAGUAUGCAUCAAAACUCUAAAUAUAUGACACCUUAGUCGAAAAUACUUUUAGAAAGUUGAUUCGAAUUCUUUUGAACACCCCAUACUUGAAAUAUUCAAUUUAUCUUGUGUUCUUUCUCAUUUGAUUCUUUUAACGAAAAAUUAAUUUUUAACGAGUGUUACACUAAACUUCAUAUUGAAUGAUUGAUUCAUUUAAAUUGUCUAAGCGUCAAUUGUGGUCUCAAUUGAUCUUUUGUUGCAAAAAUUAAAGCUUCUCAUAUGCUUUUGUUAUUUGACCAAACUAAUUUGUUUGUUGAUGACGAUUCUCAAAGGACAAACAUCAGAGGGUCACGAGAAAUCACUUAGGAAAGUUGUGGAUUGACUGAAGGUUACAAGACACGAUCAGAGGAUUCGAGCAUAGAUUCAGGACUGGCAUAAGGUCAAAACUGGUUGUCGUAGCUCCAAUCCGAGUGUGGAUAAAAUAGGAAUCAGGGAGUGAUUCAAUUUUUCUUUUAAGUCCAUUUCUAUUUCGGUUAAAAAAAUUUAAUGUUAAUUAUUUAUUUUGUAAUUCUGAAUUGAAGUGUGUAUUGAGCUUUUCUAGUGAAUUUAUUCUUAGCUUGAGAGACCGUGGAUUUUUUCAUGUUGUGAGAUUUUACCACCUAAAAUAAGUUCAUGGG